CUACUUAAAACAGGACGGAUCCAGAAGUCCCACCUCUUCCCUUCCAGACGCAGCCAUGAGCAGAGCUCCCUGCGCCGCCGCACGUUUGCGGCGGGGCUAAGCUUCAUUGCGGAGAUGUGAACUCACCACUGCCUACUACAGAUGGCCAAAUAUUGAUUCUCAGCAUUUGGACUUUUAGAAGUCGAGCUGUUGUCACCGGGAUGCACGUGACCUAAUUCUGCACCAACCAGGAGAUGAGCAGUUGGAGUUGCAGUUGGCUUAAUCAUUUUUGCAGAGGGAUGAGCAGUUGACUAGUCUACUGGGUAGCCUUAUUUCAGGUCAUUGAGCUGUUGGAUCAUCAGCUGGCAGAUAUCUGAAGCAAUUUACCACAUUUUGUAAAUAAUAAACUCUUAAAAAAAAA